CGUAGGGUGCGAGCGUUGUCCGGAAUUAUUGGGCGUAAAGAGCUCGUAGGCGGUGUGUCGCGUCGGCCGUGAAAACCUGGGGCUUAACUCUGGGCGUGCGGUCGAUACGGGCAUCACUAGAGUUCGGCAGGGGAGACUGGAAUUCCUGGUGUAGCGGUGAAAUGCGCAGAUAUCAGGAGGAACACCGGUGGCGAAGGCGGGUCUCUGGGCCGAUACUGACGCUGAGGAGCGAAAGCAUGGGUAGCGAACAGGAUU
rnacentral:rRNA from 1 species